rnacentral:rRNA from 1 species
ACGGGUGAGUAAUGCCUAGGAAUCUGCCUGGUAGUGGGGGAUAACGCUCGGAAACGGACGCUAAUACCGCAUACGUCCUACGGGAGAAAGCAGGGGACCUUCGGGCCUUGCGCUAUCAGAUGAGCCUAGGUCGGAUUAGCUAGUUGGUGAGGUAAUGGCUCACCAAGGCGACGAUCCGUAACUGGUCUGAGAGGAUGACCAGUCACACUGGAACUGAGACACGGUCCAGACUCCUACGGGAGGCAGCAGUGGGGAAUAUUGGACAAUGGGCGAAAGCCUGAUCCAGCCAUGCCGCGUGUGUGAAGAAGGUCUUCGGAUUGUAAAGCACUUUAAGUUGGGAGGAAGGGCAUUAGCCUAAUACGUUAGUGUCUUGACGUUACCGACAGAAUAAGCACCGGCUAACUCUGUGCCAGCAGCCGCGGUAAUACAGAGGGUGCAAGCGUUAAUCGGAAUUACUGGGCGUAAAGCGCGCGUAGGUGGUUUGUUAAGUUGGAUGUGAAAUCCCCGGGCUCAACCUGGGAACUGCAUUCAAAACUGACAAGCUAGAGUAUGGUAGAGGGUGGUGGAAUUUCCUGUGUAGCGGUG